ensembl:lncRNA
UGCCAUCCAACCAUCUCAUCCUCUGUCCCCCCUUCUCCUCUUGUCUUCAAUCUUUCCCAGCAUCAGGGUCUUCUCAAAUGAGUCAGCUCUUCACAUCAGGGGGCCAAAGAAUUGGAGUUUCAGCUUCAACGUCAGUCCUUCCAAUGAACACCCAGGACUGAUCUCCUUUAGGAUGCACUGGUUGGAUCUCCUUGCAGUCCAAGGGACUCUCAAGAGUCUCCCCCAACACCACAGUUCAAAAGCAUCGAUUCUUCAGCGCUCAGCCCUCUUUACAGUCCAGCUCUCAGCUCCGUGCCAGCUUACCUUUAAAAGGACACAGUCUGAUGAAGGCUGGAGGCCAGCAUAGGGGGAGAGAAGAGUGUGGAGGUGCAGUAUUUGGACUGGAAUGUCGUUUAAUAAGAGGGUAUCAUCUUGCAUGAUCUCUUCAGCAAGGGGAGGGCGCGAGGCUGGUGAGUCACCGUGGUGAGUGCGCGCCAACGUCUUUCCCCAUCACAGUCCCAUUUAUUAAAUUACGGUGGCGAGUGAAGCUCGCAGGAA